rnacentral:lncRNA from 1 species
CACACAGAAGGCAUCUCAUGGCCACUCUUGUGCAUCAAUUUUUGGAUAAACUUGAUUUGUUAGCCAUUCAAAUUCAAAGGGUGUUUGAAUUUGAAUGGAUAACUUAUCCCUUGCACCUUCUUGCUUAUCCAUCUUGUGCGCCACUUAUCAUACAUGAGAAAGAGUUUCUCAUGAAAUCUUUCCAUGCAUAAAGAAGCCAUGCCCCUUCUCUUCUCACACCCAGAGUGGAUAGGGAUGAGUUGAUUUGCAUUUGAAUUCAAAUUCAAUUUGAAUUCAAGUGUGCAACCACUUAUCUUUAUCCUCUCAC